GACGAACGCUGGCGGCGUGCUUAACACAUGCAAGUCGAACGGAAAGGCCCUGCUUUUGUGGGGUGCUCGAGUGGCGAACGGGUGAGUAACACGUGAGUAACCUGCCCUUGACUUUGGGAUAACUUCAGGAAACUGGGGCUAAUACCGGAUAGGAGCUCCUGCUGCAUGGUGGGGGUUGGAAAGUUUCGGCGGUUGGGGAUGGACUCGCGGCUUAUCAGCUUGUUGGUGGGGUAGUGGCUUACCAAGGCUUUGACGGGUAGCCGGCCUGAGAGGGUGACCGGCCAAAUUGGGACUGAGAUACGGCACAGACUGGAACGGGAGGCAGCAGUGGGGAAUAUUGCACAAUGGGCGGAAGCGUGAUGCAGAAACGCCGGGUGCGGGAUGACGGGCUUCGGGUUGUAAAAAGAUUUAGAAUGUGACGAAGAGUGAGUGACGGUAAUGGGUAAAGAAGCACCGGCUAACUACGUG
rnacentral:rRNA from 1 species